AUGAACGCUAGCUACAGGCUUAACACAUGCAAGUCGAGGGGCAGCAUGGUCUUAGCUUGCUAAGGCCGAUGGCGACCGGCGCACGGGUGAGUAACACGUAUCCAACCUGCCGUCUACUCUUGGACAGCCUUCUGAAAGGAAGAUUAAUACAAGAUGGCAUCAUGAGUCCGCAUGUUCACAUGAUUAAAGGUAUUCCGGUAGACGAUGGGGAUGCGUUCCAUUAGAUAGUAGGCGGGGUAACGGCCCACCUAGUCUUCGAUGGAUAGGGGUUCUGAGAGGAAGGUCCCCCACAUUGGAACUGAGACACGGUCCAAACUCCUACGGGAGGCAGCAGUGAGGAAUAUUGGUCAAUGGGCGAGAGCCUGAACCAGCCAAGUAGCGUGAAGGAUGACUGCCCUAUGGGUUGUAAACUUCUUUUAUAAAGGAAUAAAGUCGGGUAUGGAUACCCGUUUGCAUGUACUUUAUGAAUAAGGAUCGGCUAACUCCGUGCCAGCAGCCGCGGUAAUACGGAGGAUUCGAGCGUUAUCCGGAUUUAUUGGGUUUAAAGGGAGCGUAGAUGGAUGUUUAAGUCAGUUGUGAAAGUUUGCGGCUCAACCGUAAAAUUGCAGUUGAUACUGGGUACCUUGAGUGCAGCAUAGGUAGGCGGAAUUCGUGGUGUAGCGGUGAAAUGCUUAGAUAUCACGAAGAACUCCGAUUGCGAAGGCAGCUUACUGGACUGUAACUGACGCUGAUGCUCGAAAGUGUGGGUAUCAAACAGGAUUAGAUACCCUGGUAGUCCACACGGUAAACGAUGAAUACUCGCUGUUUGCGAUAUACGGCAAGCGGCCAAGCGAAAGCGUUAAGUAUUCCACCUGGGGAGUACGCCGGCAACGGUGAAACUCAAAGGAAUUGACGGGGGCCCGCACAAGCGGAGGAACAUGUGGUUUAAUUCGAUGAUACGCGAGGAACCUUACCCGGGCUUAAAUUGCAGAUGAAUUACGGUGAAAGCCGUAAGCCGCAAGGCAUCUGUGAAGGUGCUGCAUGGUUGUCGUCAGCUCGUGCCGUGAGGUGUCGGCUUAAGUGCCAUAACGAGCGCAACCCUUGUUGUCAGUUACUAACAGGUUCUGCUGAGGACUCUGACAAGACUGCCAUCGUAAGAUGUGAGGAAGGUGGGGAUGACGUCAAAUCAGCACGGCCCUUACGUCCGGGGCUACACACGUGUUACAAUGGGGGGUACAGAGGGCCGCUACCACGCGAGUGGAUGCCAAUCCCCAAAACCUCUCUCAGUUCGGACUGGAGUCUGCAACCCGACUCCACGAAGCUGGAUUCGCUAGUAAUCGCGCAUCAGCCACGGCGCGGUGAAUACGUUCCCGGGCCUUGUACACACCGCCCGUCAAGCCAUGGGAGCCGGGGGUACCUGAAGUGCGUAACCGCGAGGAGCGCCCUAGGGUAAAACUGGUGACUGGGGCU
rnacentral:rRNA from 1 species